GGGAUUUUGUGAUUUUAUGAUGUUUUUCCUUUUUGAUACAUCUUCCUUUUUAAUGUUUCAUUUACUCAGUUCUCCUUAUAAUGCUCCAUUUGCUCGUUUACUCACAUGCUCCUGUUGAGAAAGGCUUGGAAAGCACAUAGUGUUCACAUAUCUUUAUGUUUUGUCUUUGCUUCUUCUCACACACAUACACAUGAGCCCCGCAGUAUUCGCUGACUCCUGUGAAAGUCUCUUGCAGACACCCUUGGAAACAGGACCCAACUGGCUUCUGUUUUCCUCGAGAUAGAAACUACACACACACACACACAUAUACACUGUGUCCCAUACACGCCCAGAUUGUCUGCUACAGCCUGACAAACAGGGAAUGCUACGAUGUAUAAAUAAAGCUGACUACAAAGCCUCGGAGUGGGUAUCACCCGAUCACUCACCCGUGCGCACGUAGUUCUCUGAACAAAACUCUGACUGUUUCUGUAUUCUUUCAAUGUUUAAAAAUGUCUUGCCACUGACAUUUAAUUGGUCCUUCGAGCCGGAUAGUUUAUUGAUAUUAUUGUAUCAUCUAACUAUUCACAGACGGAGCCACCAGAUCCUGGCGUCGUGACUACCUGCACUGCAACCACCGUUUCUAGCGAAGCGAGGAAAAGCCCAGAGUCGUACAUUCGCCUACUGGCCAGUGUCUUAUACAGGUCCACGACGCCAGGUUCUCGGUGACGCCGGGAAAAAGAACACAGCGCAACAUUGAAGUCUCUUCCAGGUUGAAACCAGGAGAUUGGGUCCUGAUAAAAGUGCUCCAGAGGAAAAAGCGGAGCUCCCCGAGGUGGGAAGGACCCUACCAAGUCCUCCUGGCCACACCAACAGCCUGCAAAAUUGCUGAACGACCUUCCUGGAUUCAUCAGAGCCACUGUAAGAAAGUGAGUGACAGCCCAUAGACACUAAGACGCCAGCACCCCUGCCUGUUAGUGAUCUGGGAGGUGGAGAGAGGGCUGUUUGGGUAAAUCCCGCCCUUGUUCUUCUCGCCCCUAGUCUACUCACUCACAGGACCAGGUGUGUUCGGUCAUCAUGAAGACCCUACUCGUUCUAAUGGCCAGUGUCACAAUUCUGUUGGGACUGCUGUUACUGAUUCCACAAGAAGAACAACAGCACCACCUGGAGGCAAGACUGACACAUGACACAAUACAUCCAGACGACAUGACACAAGAUCACAACCACCCAUGGAUGAACAAUGCCUGGUACCGUUAUGUGUGCAACUCCACAAGAGACAGAAACUAUUACAUCUGUUCGCACAUGCCUCUUAAUGCAAAACACCUGAUAAUGUGCAUUCCACCAACUUGUCUGACACACUGAACACGCUACGUCAGCUCAGACGA